rnacentral:rRNA from 1 species
AGGAUGAACGCUGGCGGCGUGCUUAACACAUGCAAGUCACGGGGGCCCAGCAAUGGGCAACCGGCGAACGGGUGCGUAACACGUGAGCAACCUACCUAAGUGAGGGGGAUAGCCGGCCCAACGGCCGGGUAAUACCGCAUACGCUCGAAUUGAGGCAUUUUGAUUCGAGGAAACCUACGGGGCACUAUGAGGGGCUCGCGGCCUGUCAGCUAGUUGGUGAGGUAACGGCUCACCAAGGCGACGACGGGUAGC